rnacentral:rRNA from 1 species
UCUCCGUUGGUGAACCAGCGGAGGGAUCAUUGCUGGAAAGGGCCGAGAGGCCCCUACCACGAACCACUGUGAACUAUACCUUCGUCGUUGCCUCGGCGGGUCGGGGCUCCCGCUCGGGAGCCCCCCCGGCCCGCUCUGCCCAGGGCGGGCGCCCGCCGAAGGCCUAGCAAACUCUUGUUUCUUAGUGUCUCUCUGAGCCUUUACAUAAAAGUACAAGUAAAAACUUUCAGCAACGGAUCUCUUGGUUCUGGCAUCGAUGAAGAACGCAGCGAAAUGCGAUAAGUAAUGUGAAUUGCAGAAUUCAGUGAAUCAUCGAAUCUUUGAACGCACAUUGCGCCCUCCAGUAUUCUGGAGGGCAUGCCUGUUCGAGCGUCAUUUCAACCCUCAAGCGCUGCUUGGUGUUGGGGGAUCCGGGCUGCCUAGCCCGGGCCCCCGAAAUUCAGUGGCGGGCCUGACGGGACCCCGAGCGCAGUAGUCUUACCACCUCGCUCAGGGCGGACCGGCGGUGCCCAGCCGUUAAAACCCUUACGCAUACGCAAGGUUGACCUCGGAUCAGGUAGGAAUACCCGCUGAACUUAAGCAUAUCAAUAAGCGG